rnacentral:lncRNA from 1 species
GCCUAAGGACCAUCAAACAACAAGUUAUGCCCCAUGAGAAAGAGUUGACACCACCACAUUGUGUAUUGAUUUAUGAGGUAUUUUAUAACUUUUCCCUUAGAGGCAAAACUUAGACCAAGGGCUUUCAAGUAACAAAUUGUGCCCCAUGGGCAAGAGUUGACAUUAUCAUAUUGUAUUUUGAUUUAUGAGAUAUUCUAUA